GAGAUCUGUUAAAUUCAUUUUAAAUCAUAUUCUGUUAAUGACAUUGUGCUGCAGCCUCAGACUGGGAUCAGUCAUUUUAAUUUCUUUUAGGAUUUCCCAGUGUGAUUGGCUGCAUAGAUGCACACACAUCCCCAUCACAGCUCCCUCACAUCAUGAACAGGAAGUCCAUUCACAGCAUAAAUGUGCAGGUAGGCUACAGGUAGACUGACUACUGUUUCUAAAUGUUAAAGACUGCAUCAUAGUUCAACAUCUGUCAUUCUCUGCACUGUCCAGAUCAUAUGUGAUGCUGCAUGCAUCAUUUCUAAUGUGGAGGCCACGUGGUCUGGGUCUGUUCAUGACUCCAGGAUUUAUGGAGAGUCUAACCUGAGCAACAGACUGCAGCGUGGAGAGUUUGAUGGCCUUCUGCUGGGUGACAGGGGUUACCAUGCCAACCCAGGCUGAUGACCUCAUACCCUGACCCUGAACCAGGCCCCCAACAGAACUUCAACCGGGCUCACUGCAGGACCAGAGCCCGGGUGGAGAUGACCAUAGGCCUGCUGAAAGCCCGUUUCCAGAGCCUACGUCUCCUCAGGGUGACCCCUGAGAGGGCCUGUGAUAUUACUGUGGCAUGUGUUGUUCUUCAUAAUAUUACCACUAUUAGAGGAGAGCAACACCCUGCCCUACAAACUGAAGACCCAGAUGAUGAGCCCAUCCACCUGCAGCUAUCCAGGACAGCAGAGCAGUCAGAGACACCGUAUGCAAGAAUCACUUUAGAGUUUAAGUCUCCAUCAUCACCACCACAGCAAAUAAAGACAUGAAA